GCUUGUCUCAAAGAUUAAGCCAUGCAUGUCUCAGUGUAAACACAAGUAUGGUGAAACUGCGAAUGGCUCAUUAGAACAGUCAUAAUUUCUUUGAUGGUGGAUUCUCGCACAAAUGGAUAACUGUGCGAAACGCAGAGCUAAUACAUGCCGGAGUCGUCCUUCUGGACGGCUCACCAUGCAUUUAUGAGCUUCGCAAAGCCAAUGCUGCGUUCUCUUUCGAGAGGGCGUUAGCUUUGGGUGAAUCCUCGUAACUGAGCGAAUCGCAUGCACAGCAAUAUGUGGCGAUGCAUCAUUCUAAUGUCUGAUUCAUCAGCCUUCGUUGGUAGUGUAGUGGACUACCAAGGCGUUCACGAAUAAGGGGAAUGAGGGUUCGACUCCGGAGAGGGAGCCUGAGAAAUGGCUACCACAUCCAAGGAAGGCAGCAGG
rnacentral:rRNA from 1 species